CCCAUGGAUUCUGAGCUCCAAACGGAGGCUGCAAAGAAGUGAAAAACACACUUUUGCCCUCUUUGGAGAUGGAACCUGGCUUUGUAGCCUGGACUACAGCCCCUGUUACAGGAUUACCAGCUGCUGCCCACAGAAGAGCCGCUGUCCACAGAGGAACCUGAUGUGAACGUUUACCAAGUGGAUCCUGAUGGUGAAAGUCAGCUGCACUUCAAAGUUGAUGACACCCCUAGACAGCAGGAAGCAGCUUAAGAGACACAACGCCCUCAUUCCCUUUUCACCAUCGGCUUCUCUCUCCCCUU